CGUGUGGUAGGGAAAGAAACAAUAUUGACUGUUUGGGUUGGGUCAAAACAAAAUCCAACUACUUUUAGGUCUGAGUUUGAAAAAUCAAUGGGACUACUAGGCAAAGCCAUUGGCAAUGUCGUAUAUGAUCAAGGGUGCAGAUCCACUGUUCGUGAAUUAUCGCCAUUAUUUGACCUAUAAUCCCAUCAGUGAUUCAGAACGCAUGCAGAAAUUUACGCUCAGAAAUUUCUCUCCUCUUGCAUCCAUUAAUUAAGAUCAGCAAGUUGCCUGCAAGUCCUUUCCAUUAGAACAUACACUCCUACAAUUCAUCAAAUCCACAUGCAUCCAACCCCUAAGCAUGAGUGCCCCCAAGGGGGGAGUCACAGCAACUUACCGAAAGGUGGAACAGUAACAACAGAGGUAUGAGUAUCAUGUGCGCUCCAACUUCAGAGGCUUCUGGGUUGGUAGUCCCUUGUAAUGAUGAUGUAUUGUUAGUGUGAAAUAAGAUAACAAACAAAUUGAAUCCAGUUUACUUCAGGAACUAAAGAAACCUAAAUGUGCCUCAUUGGCAUAUACAAUCACUGUCUCUUUAUUGAUAAAUUGUGCCACUACUAAAGAAUGACUCACAAAGAAGACACAUCAUCAUGAAUAGAUUAUGUAAGGAUGAAAAUAUAGCCCCUAAGAAUGCCUGGAGUCAUGGACUAAAACGUCGGAGGAUGCUACUUAUUUUUUUCUUUUUUUGAAGUGUAUAUAGGUUUUAAGUUGAAAUAAUGAGCACGAAAGGGCUAGAAGUUUCUUCUUGUAGUUGCGUCAAAGUUCUGUACUUUUUCUUUUUCUCAGGACAGACAAGUAGACUAAGACUUGGAACCAAAUGGAGAAACAAUUGGGAGGAGUUUUUUGGGGGCAUCAAGGGGAGACAUAGCAUGUAUCGCCCGGUGGUGACCGUUGGUCCAGAACAUGGGGAGAGGAGCACUUCGGAAAUUGCUAUACUACUAAUUCUAUCACUCACUCCAUUGAAUGAGCGAUACCUUGUUUAGGACUGGAGUACAAGUAUAGGUUGUUUUCACACGACGAAGGAAACUGAUAUGCUUCUCUCUCUGUGCGUAUAUACCACC